AUGGAGAGCACGCCGGCGGCCACCGCCAGCUCGAGCGUCGUCAGCCAUGGAGUUCGUAGCGAGGGCGGGAGCGUCCUCCUCCUGCCGUUCCCGGGGGCGCAGGGCCACACGAACCCGAUGCUGGAGCUGGGCCGCCGCCUUGCGCGCCACGGCCUCUGCCCCACGCUCGUCACCACCCGCCAUGUGCUCUCCGUCACCCCGCUCCCCGGCGCGCCCUUCCGCGUGGCUCCCAUCUCCGACGGCUUCGACGCCGGCGGCUUCGCCUCGUGCCUGGACACCGACAAGUACUUCUCCCGGCUGGAGGCCGUGGGCUCCGAGACGCUGCGGGAGCUCCUGCUAUCGGAGGAAACGACCGCGGUGCGCGUGCUAGUGUACGACUCGCACCUGCCGUGGGCAGGGCGGGUGGCGCGCGCGGCCGGCGUGCCUGCCGCGGCGUUCUUCUCGCAGCCGUGCGCUGUGAACGUCGUCUACGGGGAGCUGUGGGCGGGUCGGCUGGCGCCGCCAGUGACGGACGGGCGUGAGCUGCUGGCGCGCGGAGCGCUGGGCGUGGAGCUGGGGCCGGAGGACGUGCCGCCAUUCGCAGGGGCGCCUGAGUCGCAGCCAGGGUUCUUUAAGAUGUCGAUUGGGCAGUUCGACGGGCUGGAGGAGGCCGACGACGUGCUCGUCAACUCAUUCAGCGACAUCGAGCCAACGGGAAGUUAA
rnacentral:rRNA from 1 species